GUGAGGAAUUUUCCGCAAUGGGCGAAAGCCUGACGGAGCAAUGCCGCGUGAAGGAUGAAGGCCUAUGGGUUGUAAACUUCUUUUCUCAGAAAAGAAUUAUGACGGUAUCUGAGGAAUAAGCAUCGGCUAACUCUGUGCCAGCAGCCGCGGUAAGACAGAGGAUGCAAGCGUUAUCCGGAAUGAUUGGGCGUAAAGCGUCUGUAGGUUGUUUAAAAAGUAUUCUGUCAAAGAUUAGGGCUUAACCCUAGAUAGGCAAAAUAAACUUUUAAGCUAGAGUUUGGUAGAGGCAGAGGGAAUUCCCGGUGGAGCGGUGAAAUGCGGAGAUAUCGGGAGGAACACCAAAGGCGAAGGCACUCUGCUGGGCCAAUACUAACACUGAGAGACGAAAGCGAGGGGAGCAAAUGGGAUUAGAAACCCUUGUAGUCC
rnacentral:rRNA from 1 species